UACAGAGGGUGCGAGCGUUGUUCGGAAUUAUUGGCGUAAAGCGCGUGUAGGCUGUGAUGUAUGUCGGGUGUGAAAGCCCUCAGCUUAACUGAGGAAGUGCGCCCGAAACUAUAUCGCUAGAGUGCCGGAGAGGGUGGCGGAAUUCCUGGUGUAGCGGUGAAAUGCGCAGAUAUCAGGAGGAACACCGGUGGCGAAGGCGGUGGUCUGGGCCGGAACUGACGCUGAGGAGCGAAAGCGUGGGGAGCGAACAGG
rnacentral:rRNA from 1 species